CGCCGAGGAGGCAGCAGCCAGUCCGCGA
rnacentral:sRNA from 1 species